UACGUAGGGUGCGAGCGUUAAUCGGAAUUACUGGGCGUAAAGCGUGCGCAGGCGGUUUUGUAAGCCAGAUGUGAAAUCCCCGGGCUCAACCUGGGAAUGGCAUUUGGGACUGCAAGGCUGGAGUGCGGCAGAGGAGACUGGAAUUCCUGGUGUAGCAGUGAAAUGCGUAGAUAUCAGGAGGAAUACCGAUGGCGAAGGCAGGUCUCUGGCUGGACACUGACGCUCAUGCCACGAAAGCGUGGGGGAGCAAACAGGAUUGAGAA
rnacentral:rRNA from 1 species